rnacentral:tRNA from 1 species
GGGGAAGUAGCUCAGCUGGGAGAGCGCUGCGUUCGCAAUGCAGAGGUCGGGAGUUCGAUCCUCCUCUUCUCCA